UACGUAGGCAGCAAGCGUUGUUCGGAAUUACUGGGCGUAAAGAGUGUGUAGGCGGUGCUCUAAGUUCGGUGUGAAAUCUCCCGGCUCAACUGGGAGGGUGCGCCGGAAACUGGAGUGCUUGAGCGUGGGAGAGGAAAGCGGAAUUCCUGGUGUAGCGGUGAAAUGCGUAGAUAUCAGGAGGAACACCUGUGGUGUAGACGGCUUUCUGGACCAUAGCUGACGCUGAGACACGAAAAGCGUGGGUAGCAAACAGG
rnacentral:rRNA from 1 species